GACGAACGCUGGCGGCGUGCUUAACACAUGCAAGUCGAACGGAAAGGCCUGCUUUCCCUUGUGGAUUGCGGGUACUCGAGUGGCGAACGGGUGAGUAACACGUGAGUGAUCUGCCCCCAACUUGGGUAUAAGCCUGGGAAACUGGGUCUAAUUCCCGAUAGGACUGCAGGGUGGUGCCUGUGGUGGAAAACGAUUUUCUAGUGGUUGGGGAUGAGCUCGCGGCCUAUCAGCUUGUUGGUGGGGUAAUGGCCUACCAAGGCGGCGACGGGUAGCCGGCCUGAGAGGGUGGACGGGCACAGUGGGACUGAGAAACGGCCCAGACUCAUACGGGAGGCAGCAGUGGGGAAGAUUGGACAAUGGGCGGAAGCCUGAUGAAGCGACGACGCGUGGGGGAUGACGGCCUGCGGGUUGUAAACUCCUUUCGACCGCGAGGAAGCCACCUGGUUGGAAGGGUGGUGACGGUAGUGGUAGAAGAAGCACCGGCUAACUACGUG
rnacentral:rRNA from 1 species